ACCUCUCCAUGGUGUUCCAGCCACUUUCUGAAAAGUCAUGGCCUUUGCAGGUUUUUUGUGCACUACUCCGUAAGAGCCCAGGACUGUGGGGACCUGGGCGUUGACUCUGGACCAAGCCUUCUAGGCAUUGGGGAACAUGGCAGAUGCGGCUUCCUGCUCUCAUGGAGUUUCUAGUGGCUUGGUGAAGACAAGCUUAAGAGAGUCAGGCAUGAUGAUAGGGUCACCUCUCUGCCAGAGAUGAUUGUUAUUUUUGCUAGAAUUUGGUUAUGGUUUGCGUGUCAGUUUCAUUUGCUGGAAUCUUGGUUCCCAGCAUGGCAGCACUGAGAGCGGUGGACUCUUGAAGAGGUAGGGAUUAACGGGAAAUGAUUUUGUUGUGAGGGUGUUCCCUGGGGUGUAAUGUAUUGUGGGGAUCUAAUUAGCUUCUACAAGGACAGCUUGUUAAGGAGAAAACAAGCCUGGCUCCUGAGUCCCACUGGCUUCCUCUGUUAUAUUGUAAGGUCUUUGACUUGCACAGGUUUUUGUCAUGAUGGCUUCUGCCAUGGAGAGAUGUAGUGAGGAAAAUUUCGUGAGAACUGAGCUGCUGCAAUGUUCUUGGAUCUUUAAUGCUGUGCUAAUAAGACCUUUAUCUAU